AGCUUCUUGAAACCAUAUGAAGUGACGUCUGCCCAGUGUUAUAAUAAACGGCCGCGCAAGUGCUAAGGUAGCAUAAUAAUUUGUCUUUUCACUGAAGACUAGUAUGAAAGGCAUAACGAAGCUCAACUGUCUCCUUAUAUAUAACAAAACUUGAUUUAAAAGUGAAAAAUCUUUUAUUUUUAUGAUGGACGAGAAGACCCUAUAGAGUUUCAGUAGAUAGUAUAUCCUUACUAAUACUUUUGUUGGGGCAACACAAGACCAAAAAAAUUCUUCUUCAUAUAAACCCUCAAAGAGAAUUAAAACAAACUACCUUAGGGAUAACAGCGUAAUCUUACCUAAGAGAUCUAAUCGAAGGUAAGGGUUGCGACCUCGAUGUUGGACUAAGGAAUCUAUUAUAUGCAGAAGUAUAAUUAAGUAAGCCUGUUCGGCUUUUAAAACCUUACAUG
rnacentral:rRNA from 1 species